UGCACAACAAAAAACUUUUCACGGCAACUGGUUUGAUACAUUCACCAAUGAAGGGAAAUAAUAUACUUACAUACAGUAAUCUUGCUCUGAUUUGUCAUCACGAGGGUCACAGAGAUAAAAUGUAGCAUAGUUUUGUUUGAUAAAAUGUAUUUUUAUUUUCAAAUGUAGGAAAUGGGUUCMAAAGUUUGAACUCCUGCUGUUUCUGUUACAGGCAGUUAGAUUUGGUUGUCAUUUUAGGCGAAAAUUGAAAAAAAGGUUCCGAUCCUUAUUAAACCAGAGCAGGGUCGUUGUUCUGGGCAUGCUGCAGUUGGCCUGUGCGGCGUUGUGUGCGGAUUCAUUGACAAAUUUUUUCCGCAAAAACACCAACCUCAGUGAAACUCGAGCACCUGUGUGGACUUGUUUGGUGAACAAUAUGACUGUUCUUUCAUCUAAACAAUUUAAAUGAUUUGUCAAAUGUAGAGUACAACACUUGAUUUGUUUAAUUUUGUGGUGACUCUUUGCUUCCCAAAGGAAAAACACAGUAUUGGUUUAUCCUGCCUUAGUGUGCUCCUGUGUUUCCAUGGUGAUGGUGUCAGGCUAGGCAUGCCUAACGUUGACCAAUGGCGAGAAUGACAACGAGGUGUUCCACCAUCACAACAACCCUGAAGUGGUAAUACCCUGACCCUAACAGCUCUCACAAACGAUCAACACAACAAUAGUUUAACUCGCACUUCUCUUUAACUCCCCCAUCCCACAGAUAAAAGAACAUGUCGACCUGAAAUGACAUACAUUGCGUUGAAAUGUUGAGGAUGCUUUAUUGCAAGGUUACACAUAACAUUUGUAAUGUAAUCCAUUGCAAGGCUUUACUCCCUUGUUUUGUUCCCAGUAGUUCUUUCCUGAAGUGAUCAGUCUCGUUAAAAUAAACAGUCUUUCUCAAACAGACAUACCUUUGUAUCAAAUAGCCCAAAUAAAA